CCUACGGGUGGCAGCAGUGGGGAAUAUUGGACAAUGGGGGGAACCCUGAUCCAGCCAUGCCGCGUGUGUGAAGAAGGCCCUCGGGUUGUAAAGCACUUUCAGUGAGGAAGAACGCCUGGUGGUUAAUACCCAUCAGGAAAGACAUCACUCACAGAAGAAGCACCGGCUAACUCCGUGCCAGCAGCCGUGGUAAUACGGAGGGUGCGAGCGUUAAUCGGAAUUACUGGGCGUAAAGCGCGCGUAGGUGGCUUGAUAAGCCGGUUGUGAAAGCCCCGGGCUCAACCUGGGAACGGCAUCCGGAACUGUCAAGCUAGAGUGCAGGAGAGGAAGGUAGAAUUCCCGGUGUAGCGGUGAAAUGCGUAGAGAUCGGGAGGAAUACCAGUGGCGAAGGCGGCCUUCUGGACUGACACUGACACUGAGGUGCGAAAGCGUGGGUAGCAAACAGGAUUAGAUACCCCAGUAGUC
rnacentral:rRNA from 1 species